CCUACGGGGGGCAUCAGUGGGGAAUAUUGGACAAUGGGCGAAAGCCUGAUCCAGCCAUGCCGCGUGUGUGAAGAAGGCCUUCGGGUUGUAAAGCACUUUCAGUGGGGAAGAAAGCCUUGGGGCUAAUACCCUCGAGGAAGGACAUCACCCACAGAAGAAGCACCGGCUAACUCCGUGCCAGCAGCCGCGGUAAUACGGAGGGUGCGAGCGUUAAUCGGAAUUACUGGGCGUAAAGCGCGCGUAGGCGGUCUGAUAAGCCGGUUGUGAAAGCCCCGGGCUCAACCUGGGAACGGCAUCCGGAACUGUCAGGCUAGAGUGCAGGAGAGGAAGGUAGAAUUCCCGGUGUAGCGGUGAAAUGCGUAGAGAUCGGGAGGAAUACCAGUGGCGAAGGCGGCCUUCUGGACUGACACUGACGCUGAGGUGCGAAAGCGUGGGUAGCAAACAGGAUUAGAUACCCUAGUAGUC
rnacentral:rRNA from 1 species